rnacentral:rRNA from 1 species
UACCUGCAGCCCAAGCGGUGCUCGUUAUUAUUGGGUCUAAAACGUCCGUAGUCGGCUGAGUAGAUGCCCGGGUAAAUCGCAGCGCUCAACGUUGCGAAUUCCGGGUAGACCGCUCGGCUAGGGAGUGGGAGAGGUGUGAGGUACUCUGAGGGUAGGGGUAAAAUCCUGUAAUCCUUGGGGGACCACCAGUGGCGAAGGCGUCACACUAGAACACGUCCGACGAUCAGGGACGAAGCCCUGGGGCGCAAACGGG